CUGGUAGAUGUUUAACCAGACCACCCUACACCAACCUAGUUCAGCUGGUAGAUACCACCCUAGACCAGCCUAGUUCAGCUGCUAGAUAUUUAACCAGACCACCCUAGACCAGCCUAGUUCAGCUAAGGAAGGGCUUAGCUUGUUUUUUUCCGAUAGUGUGAACCAGGUUAACAUGCACAGGAAUGGCAUGUAAAUGUGGUAGCUGGGGGAGGGGGGAGGCGUGGCUUUACGGUACAUGUUUGCUAUCAUUGGGGGGGAGGCGUGGCUUUACGGUACAUGUUUGCUGUCAUUGGUUAAUCAUCGUAAGUGUGAUUAUCCUUUUUGCUUCAUGCAUGUCUGUAAUAUAGUGUAGUUUAACCGUAGAGCAGGACUCUACUGAUGCUAUGCUUAGGCUGGACUGCACUGAGACACCCAUGGCAGUAUUGGAGAGGGGUUGAAUCAUAUCAGAUUAACACCCUAUAAUAAAACUGUAUUGGAGAGGGGUUGAAUCAUUUAGAUGAACACCCUAUAAUAAAACUGUAUUGGAGAGGGGUUGAAUCAUAUCAGAUGAACACCCUAUAAUAAAACUGUAUUGGAGAGGGGUUGAAUCAUAUCAGAUGAACACCCUAUAAUAAAACUGUAUUGGAGAGGGGUUGAAUCAUUUAGAUGAACACCCUAUAAUAAAACUGUAUUGGAGAGGGGUUGAAUCAUUUAGAUGAACACCCUAUAAUAAAACUGUAUUGAAGAGGGGUUGAAUCAUUUAGAUGAACACCCUAUAAUAAAACUGUAUUGGAGAGGGGUUGAAUCAUAUCAGAUGAACACCCUAUAAUAAAACUGUAUUGGAGAGGGGUUGAAUCAUAUCAGAUGAACACCCUAUAAUAAAACUGUAUUGGAGAGGGGUUGAAUCAUAUCAGAUGAACACCCUAUAAUAAAA
ensembl:lncRNA